rnacentral:lncRNA from 1 species
CCGGGAACCCCGAACAUCCCCUUUCUCUACUCUUUCCCUUUGGAGUCUAUAGAGGGAGAAGCAGAGCCUAAGGCUUCAUCAGUUUGAAUACUGGCUGGGGCUGGGCAAGUUAGUGGCUCAAAGUGUUGAAUCUGUCCCUAAAGCAGGGACAGAAAUGGAGGCUCAGGAGGUAGAGGUGGCAGUGGGCGUGCAGGAGAAGCUGUAGGUCAGGAGGUAGAGGUGGCAGUGGGCGUGCAGGAGAACUGUAGGUCAGAGUGGAGAGGUGGCAGUGGGCGUGCAGGAGAAGCUGUAGGUCAGGAGGUAGAGGUGGCAGUGGGCGUGCAGGAGAAGGUGUAGGUCAGGGGGUAGAGGUGGCAGUGGGCGUGCAGGAGAAGCUGUAGGUCGGGAGGUAGAGGUGGCAGUGGGCGUGCAGGAGAAGUGUAGGUCAGGAGGCAGAGGUGGCAGUGGGCGUGCAGGAGAAGCUGUAGGUCGGAGAGGGUGCAGAGUGGAGAACAGAUGAGCUGGAGUCACACCAUGCCCUAUACCCAGCCAGAGGCCGAAGUGAGCCUGUCACGGUAAUGCCACUGCCUGCUUGAUUCCCUCCCAUGCCUAGCCUGGGUUCUUCAUGAUCCCUGAGGCCCUCUUUGAUGUCAUCCCGCUGCCUCAAAACCUGUGUGUGCUGGUGGCUCCCUCUGCUUUCCUUCCAGAUGACUCCUUCGCUUCAGCUCAAAUGUCACCUUUGGCUGUUAAAAUCCUUUCCGGAGGAAGUUGUAAACAAUGCCUACCCCUCCUCCCGAGGUCUCUGAUUCCACUCCAGGGAAGAUUGCUCUGGGGGAGCCAAUGAGUUUGUUGGGAUUACUUCCAGAGCAUAGGUGAGGGGUUAGUUACUUGAAUAUGAGUGCUGCCCACCAAAAGACCGCACUGAAAAGUCUUUACCCAGCAGGGGUGAUGGU